rnacentral:lncRNA from 1 species
GAAAGACGGGGCCUGGGGAGCUCAGUCCACACUGUGCUCGAGCAUUAGCAUGCACUAGAGAACCAGAACUAGGCUCCAGCGCUCCCAUGCGACCUUGGGCAAGUCCUUUGACCUCUCCUGCUUUAAAUGGUCAUUUGGUACCUAGAAAGUAUCAGCAGUAGCUUCCAGGUUCAUCUUGCACUGAAAAUAUUUCCUGGUAUCAAGGAGCCUGUGCAAGGAAGAACAAGAAGAGUGAUUCUAACAGGGAAGGCACAGAGUGUUUUUUUUUCUUCAGGACUUUCAGGAAGGAAAACUCUCUUCCUUUACUGACUACUCUUCCAAUACCUGCUUUUCUGUCAUCUUAGAGCCCAGUGACCCUCCAAGGGUCAGAAGCAGGGUCAUCUGAGUAAGAGUAGAAGCUUCCAGAGACUUCACUCUCCAAGCCGUGAUUUGAGAAAAGGAUCAAGAACGAAUUCUAGGACAAAGGCCCUUGCAAAUGCAGUUUCAGGGACUCACUCAGAGCUUCUUUGGGAAAAAAGAAUGGAGCUUAUCUCCUUCCCCCACCGUCAAUCUACUUCCUGUUCCUACUCCAGGGAUAUACGAUGUCCCACUCAAGCUUGUAACACAGAAUCCCAGCACAGAUCAACAGAUGCUGCUACACAUGCACACACUUGCGUAUGUGUGCGCCCAAGGAAAGGCUGUUCCGGAAUGCUUAGGAAAGCCAAUUGUCACUCUAAGAAGGGACCAGCAUGAUGUACUGGCAUGCCCAUCAUAAAAAAAUCACUACUCCCACCUCUAGGUUGUCUUGGUUUACUUUAUAACAGCAGUUCUCAAAGAGUGUUCCAGUAACUCUUGAGGGGACUUGAGCCGCUUUCAGGGAAUCUGCAAGGUCAAAACUAUUUUCAUAAUAUUAUUAUGAUGUUAUUUGCCUUUUUUACUUGCCUUCUUUCAUGAACAUAAUUGGAUAUUUUAGAGGCUAC